rnacentral:rRNA from 1 species
UGGGGAAUAUUGGACAAUGGGCGAAAGCCUGAUCCAGCCAUGCCGCGUGUGUGAAGAAGGUCUUCGGAUUGUAAAGCACUUUAAGUUGGGAGGAAGGGCAGUAAGCGAAUACCUUGCUGUUUUGACGUUACCGACAGAAUAAGCACCGGCUAACUCUGUGCCAGCAGCCGCGGUAAUACAGAGGGUGCAAGCGUUAAUCGGAAUUACUGGGCGUAAAGCGCGCGUAGGUGGUUCGUUAAGUUGAAUGUGAAAGCCCCGGGCUCAACCUGGGAACUGCAUCCAAAACUGGCGAGCUAGGGUAAGGCAGAGGGUGGUGGAAUUUCCUGUGUAGCGGUGAAAUGCGUAGAUAUAGGAAGGAACACCAGUGGCGAAGGCGACCACCUGGGCUCAUACUGACACUGAGGUGCGAAAGCGUGGGGAGCAAACAGG